GAUGAACGCUGGCGGCGUGCCUAACACAUGCAAGUCGAGCGGACAGAUCCGGCUUUUGUUCGUUUCACGAUAGGGGCAGGGGGGUGAGUCACACGAGUAUACCCUAUCUAUAAGACUGGUAUCAUUACGGGAAAGCGGCUCACAUCCCGGAUAAGAUGUUGAACCGCGGGGUUCUUCGGAGAAAGGCGGCUGUGCUGGAACUAAUCGCGGGUCCCCAGCUGUAUUAGCUAGUUGGUGGGGUAACGGCUCACCACGGCUACGCUACGUGGCCGACCUGACAGGGGGAUCGGCCACACUGGAACUGAGACACGGUCCAGACGCCUACGGGAGGCAGCAGUAGGGAAUCGUCGGCAAUGGGCGAAAGCCUGACGCAGCAACGCCGCGUGUGUGAUGAAGGUCUUCGGAUCGUAAAGCCCUGUUAUUAGGGAAGAACAGAUGUGUACUGAGACGUGGCGGUCGUGACGGUACCUAAUCAAAAAGCAACGGCUAACUACGUG
rnacentral:rRNA from 1 species